rnacentral:rRNA from 1 species
UACGGAGGGUGCGAGCGUUGUCCGGAGUCACUGGGCGUAAAGGGCGCGUAGGCGGCCUGAUAAGUAGGGGGUGAAAUCCUGCGGCUUAACCGCAGGGCUGCCUUCUAAACUGUCAGGCUCGAGCACAGUAGAGGCAGGUGGAAUUCCCGGUGUAGCGGUGGAAUGCGCAGAUAUCAGGAGGAACACCGGUGGCGAAGGCGGUUCUCUGGGCAUGUCCUGACGCUGAGGAGCGAAAGUGUGGGGAGCGAACAGG